AUAUAAACAAACAAAUGAAAUAAAGCAUUAAGAAUAAAAAUAAGAAAAUAAUAAUAAGAAGAAAGGAGUUGUCGUUGCAAGAUGCAAAAGGCUAUCCACAGGCGGCGAAGGAGAGGCGCCACGCCCGCCCCUCCAUGCUCUGCGAAAGCUACUCGCCUCGUCGAUGGUUGUAGAAGAGGGAAGGGGUAAAAGAGGGAGUCAGUUGUUCAGCGCAGCCGCCCGCCGCGUUUUAUGCAACCAGUCGUGCUUCGGAGCGAACGAAUCUACUACCCCGGUCUCCUUUGACAGACGGGGAAGCGCGUGCGGUUCUCGUACCAACUCCUAUACCGUAUCUCGAGAUCGGGGAAUUGACUACGCUCCGUCCGAUUCGAGCACGUACGAGUCGCGUUUCCGGCGAUAAUCAUUUCAAGAAAAACCUAACUCUUGUGAAAUAUCCUUAUCAAGUUCCGAGUAACUAUAUUCUGUGAGCUGUGCCCCUUGUGUAUGAAGAAGGUGCUAAGAACGUAGGCGAAACCGUACGAGGAAUAAGGAACGAACAGAUCGUCGAGCGAGUAGUUCGAAAACACCACGAGCUAAAAGGAAGGCAAGGUCGUAGAAAGGCGGUGUCGGUGUUGUGUUUCCGCUAGAUCUGAAAGGGUGAUAGAUAUACAUUCUUCGAAAAUCAAAAGACGACGAGAGAACGUAUUUGGGAACGAGAUACACACGCACAUAUUAUUCUUCUCCUUUCUUCUCUACCGACGGAGGAAAGAAACGAUAUAGCCUAACCAGUCGUCGUCGUCGUUGUCGCGUCAAAGGUGUCCGUAAAUGAUCUCGUGAACGAACCCGUGAACUAACCGAGAUAUAUACAACAACGACGAGAAUUCCCGAUGUGUCAACGCGGCUGCAUUAUAGCCACGACUAGUAGUCCUCUGUGCUUCGCACUAUCUAAU